rnacentral:autocatalytically_spliced_intron from 1 species
GGGAGUCGAAUACCCGAAUGGGGCACGUUCGGAUCUGUGCAGGGGGGGCCGGUGACGGACAUCCCUACCGUAAU